GAAGAACUGGCUAUUCUGGCUUGUCAACAAUACCUGAAGCUGAAGGUUGAUCUUCUUUAUGGACAUCAUCUAGACAUGCUUCCUUUAAACAAAGUCACUGUAGAAAAUCUAGGACCUAAAAAGGAAGUCCCGUCUCCCGUUAAAACCAAAAGGAGGCGCAUCAAAAUGACGUCCGAUUUGUACGACAGUGAGGGAUCGGACAGCGAGUCCACAGAUGUCGCCCAGACCAGUGCCAUUGUGGAGGAAACUCCCAAACACAAACAAAGAGAGGAAAAUUCACCUGAGCUGGUUGGGGCUCUGAGUGGGUUUGCUGACUUCUAUGACAGUAUCUCAUUCACAGACACAAUGAGGUCACUGGAAGAGAGGAUUGUGGGAGAUCGGAACAGUGUAAACGGGAUGACGGAGGAUCCGCUGAUUCACGAGCACUCAGAACUGUGGAUGCAGGACCAUCUGAGUGAGGUGUGUGCGAGCGUCCAGUGGGCGAGUCUGAGUACACUCAAUCACAGGCUGAGACAGGUCACUCGAGGGCUCGUCCAGGAUGAACGGUUUACAAUCCCUGUCCUCAAGGGAAGGACCUCAACAUUAACUCAAGGAAUAGCCUGUCCAGAUACUAGGUCUCGGAGUACGAUCGACAAGGCGUACAGCAAUGUGAUGUCUAGUCUACCUCUAUCGGUCCCAAGAGCAGCGGCCAUGUGUGAUUAUCUCCCCUACCUCAGAUCCAUCACUCGAGACGAACAGAUCCGACAGGCCGCCAAACUCAAGAGAAGAUUCCACCACUACUUUGAUCAGAUCGGACUUUCUCUUAAAGACCAGACGCUGGAAAUUUUAAACUUGUCUCUCUCCUGAAUUCUGGACAGGGAGACAACAAAUCUGACUUUCUUAGAUAAAUCAGCAUAAAUUAUUUUAUUAUAAGCCAUCAGAUGGCAUAGUUUUUGUAAUUAGAUCGAAGUAUGUGUAUAAAUGUGCAAUGCUGUGAAAAUUCUUUAUAUUACCUCGAUUUUGUUGAUGAUUAAGCAUUAUGAAAUUACAAAUGUACAUAACAAUUUUUACUUUUUAUACAUGUAUCCAAUAUGUGAACAAUAAUGAUUCUUAUACAAAUUAGAAAAA
rnacentral:misc_RNA from 1 species